rnacentral:sRNA from 1 species
UUUUAGCCCCGACAGGAGCGGCUACCGUGUAGCGCGGAUGGCGGGAAUAAGG